rnacentral:lncRNA from 1 species
AAGAGAAAUGAAGAAUACUGACUGCCAACAAAAAUCACAGAAGUCCUUUAAUAACUCAAUUCAAAUGUUAAUAAUAUAAAUGCUGAAGUAAGAGAACAACUUCAUGUCAAUUACUUCAACAUCAAUAUAAAAAGUAUCUCUAUCUGAAUAGCAAGUACUAUGAAGAAUGUGGCCGGACAAUCAACACCUUCCACAUAAUCUUUCAUGCUUUGUUUAUCCUUGGAAUAAACAUGUCUUCACCUUUAUGUAAACAUCCACCAAAAUUUGUAUUUGUAUUACCUCCAUCAAAAGCAGUGUAGAAGCAAGGGGAAAUAUGUAUUUUCCACAUUGUAAUUGCUUGUACCCAUGGCUAUGCUGAAAAAAACAAUAAUGAGGCUAUUAAAACACUGAUAAUCUCUGUAAUCGUAAGUGAAGCUAUUUUUGUUGUUGCAGUGGACUUUAUCUUGGCACUUGAAAUUGUGAUUGCAACUUUGGAAUCAGAAAAUACUCUGCCAGUACUACGUUAGGUCAUUUGAGCUGAAAGAAUGAUGAUGGUGUAGAGGGUAUUUACAGCUUCUGCUUGAAUUACUAUAUCUCAAUCUGAAUUCCUGUUAAACGAAGA